AUUGCAUUAUGUCAGCACUUUGAAGUGGGCUAUAGACCGAAUUUCACAUAAGUUCAGGCACUGACUGAUACGACCAUACUAACUGUUGUACUAACUACUUGUACGCAGGGAAUCAUGUGAUUUUACUGUAUAGAUUUUGAGAAAAUGUCAUUUGAAAAACGUACACAUGCAUAUUCUCGCCUUUGCAAAUUGCAUUAUGUCAGCAAUUUGAAGUGGGCUACAGACCAAAUUUCACAUAAGUUCCGGCACUGACUGAUAUGACCACAUUAACCGGUGUGCUGACUACUUGUACACAAGGAACCAUGUGGUUUUUGCUGUAUAUAUUUUGAGAGUGUGUCAUUUGAAAAACGUACACAUGCAUAUUCUCGCCUUUGCAAAUUGCAUUAUGUCAGCACUUUGAAGUGGGCUAUAGACCGAAUUACACAUAAGUCCAGGCACUGACCUAUACGACCAUACUAACCGUUGUACUGACUACUUGUACAGAAUGAACCAUUUGAUUUUACUGUAUAGAUUUAGAGAAAAUGUCAUUUGAAAAACGUACACAUGCAUGUUCUCGCCUUUGCAAAUUUGCAUUAUGUCAGCACUUUGAAGUGGGCUAUAGACCGAAUUUCACGUAAGUUCAGGCACUGACUGAUAUGACCAUGCUAACUGUUGGACUGACUACUUAAACGCAAGGAACCAUGUGAUUUUACUGUAUAGAUUUAUAGAAAACGUAAUUUGAAAAACGUACAUGCAUAUUCUCGCCUUUGCAAAUUUGCAUUAUGUCAGCACUUUGAAGUGGGCUAUAGACCGAAUUUCAAAUAAGUUCAGGCACUGACUGAUAUGACCAUACUAACUGUUGGACUGACUACUUGUACGCAAGGAACCAUGUGAUUUUACUGCAUAGAUUUUGAGAAAAUGUCAUUUGAAAAACGUACACAUGCAUAUUCUGCUGGCCAAUGGAGUCGAACGUCCGCACUGGCGGCCAACUUGCCACAGUCAGCUGCUCACCCAUAACACUGUGUUGACUUGGUAGUGGUACAUUUUGUUUUGUUCUAAACGUCAGAGAUGUAGUUACGGCACUGCAUAUUUGAUACUGAUGAAUAAUUAUGUUAGAUAAAAAAAAAAAUUGAAUAAUGUUCUAAAAUAUGUACAAUAUUAUAACCACGUUAAUAACGUUUGUAAGAAACCAAACCGUUUGUAAACCAGUUGAAAAUGUACUAAGUUAUGGUUAUUUAAAAAGUACAUGUACCACUUCUAACACAAUGCUAUGGGUGAGCAGCUGACUGGCAAGAUGACAGCAAGUGCGGACGUUCUAGACGCCGCCGUAAGACAUCUAGUUUUCUAUAUAUCUACACACGUAGGUGAAGGGUUUUAUUUUGAAAACGUUGCGAGAUACCACCCAAAGGCUGUUUAGAGUAAAGGCGCACGAAGAUUUUGUGUGACGGCUGGCUUAACCGCGGAUGAACGAAUGGCGGCUCACUUGACCGCAGUGCCGCUAACUGAGCCGCGGCGCUAAACUGUGAAGUUGGGCGGGUCCUCUCUCCCAAGACACACCCAUAGUGGCUCACUAGAGGGAAAAGUCCCUCAGUCGGAACGCCCCAUGUGUGUUCCCCUUAUAUUGGCUGAGUGAUCCAUCUUGCUCAACUACAAGUGAAGUGUCAACUACAAAAUCGAGAGAACCCAACGCAGUCGUUUGAGAUUCAUAAUAUCGUCUGGAGACGCACACAGCUUUUGGCUGUGAUAAUAUAUAUUAUAUGAUAUAGAUAUCUAUGAAUAAUAUGAUAUUAUUUAGACAUAGAGCUCCAGGAAUUCCGCCGGAGCACCCGGAGUGUUCCAGAAUAUUUACAGAACACGGCCAAAGGCUGUGUGCGCCUCGCCAUUGCGAUACAUCCACUGUAAACAGAGCGCAUGGUACCUUGGCCGAAAGCUGCUCAGGGCCACACCCCCACCCUCCUCCUUUACCCGCCUCUCUCCUCAUUUGCAUCAAAGCUACAGACACCGAAACGGCGCGUUUAGGGGAAGCUCAAUGUGCGACUGGCUCGUAGUGGCUGUAAUUCUGCACCACGGCUGAAUUUCGGGGACGUCUACAAAUACUGUGUUAAGGGCCCACUCAUAUCUAUAUUAAAGCAUCUAUAAAGUAGCAUGCCAUGGGACCUUUAAGGUAAGCAUUUCGGUUCCCUCUUUCUUCAUGAGGACCAUACUAAUCAGUGGAAUAUUGCAGUGAUAAAAUGAUACCACAGUUU